CCAAUGUGCUCGGUGAUUCGGUUCAUCGAGUAAAGCUCCGGCGCUUCGGGAGAGGCCUGCGGCCCAUCAGCUAGUUGGUAGGGUAACGGCCUACCAAGGCAGAGACGGGUAGGGGGCGUGAGAGCGCGGACCCCCACACUGGCACUGAGAUACGGGCCAGACUCCUACGGGAGGCAGCAGUAAGGGAUAUUGCGCAAUGGACGAAAGUCAGACGCAGCGACGCCGCGUGGGCGAUGAAGGCCUUCGGGUUGUAAAGCCCUUUUAUGGGGGAAGAGAAAAAGGACGGUACCCCAGGAAUAAGUCCCGGCUAACUACGUGCCAGCAGCCGCGGUAAAACGUAGGGGACAAGCGUUAUCCGGAUUCACUGGGCGUAAAGAGCGUUGAGGCGGUUCCGUAAGUUGGGCGUGAAAGCUCCGGGCUUAACUCGGAGAUGUCGUUCAAUACUGCGGGGCUUGAGGACAGCAGAGGAAGGUGGAAUUCCCGGUGUAGUGGUGAAAUGCGUAGAUAUCGGGAGGAACACCCGUGGCGAAGGCGGCCUUCUGGGCUGUUCCUGACGCUGAAGGCGAAAGCUAGGGGAGCGAACGGGAUUAGAUACCCCGGUAGUCCUAGCUGUAAACGAUGGAUGCUGGGUUUGGGGGGUGUAAAUUCCCUCUGUGCCGAAGCAAACGCGUUAAGCAUCCCGCCUGGGGACUACGGCCGCAAGGCUAAAACUCAAACGAAUUGGCGGGGGCCCGCACAAGCAGCGGAGCGUGUGGUUUAAUUCGAUGCUACACGAAGAACCUUACCUGGGUUUGACAUGCACGUGGUAGGGAACCGAAAGGGGACCGACCUUCGGGAGCGUGCACAGGUGCUGCAUGGCUGUCGUCAGCUCGUGCCGUGAGGUGUCGGGUUAAGUCCCGUAACGAGCGCAACCCUUGCCCUUAGUUACAAGUGUCUAAGGGGACUGCCCGGGACAACUGGGAGCGCAGGUGGGGAUGACGUCAAGUCAGCAUGGCCUUUAUAUCCAGGGCUACACACACGCUACAAUGGCCGGUACAAUAGGUUGCGAAGUCGUGAGGCGGAGCCAAUCCUCAAAGCCGGUCUCAGUUCGAAUUGCAGUCUGCAACUCGACUGCAUGAAGCUGGAGUUGCUAGUAAUCGCAGGUCAGCUAUACU
rnacentral:rRNA from 1 species